UACAGAGGGUGCAAGCGUUAAUCGGAAUUACUGGGCGUAAAGCGUGCGUAGUCGGUUAUUUAAGUCGGGCGUGAAAGCCCCGGGCUCAACCUGGGAAUUGCGUUCGAUACUGGAUAGCUAGAGUGCGGUAGAGGGUAGUGGAAUUCCCGGUGUAGCGGUGAAAUGCGUAGAGAUCGGGAGGAACACCAGUGGCGAAGGCGGCUACCUGGACCAGCACUGACACUGAGGCACGAAAGCGUGGGGAGCAAACAGG
rnacentral:rRNA from 1 species